GAUGAACGCUGGCGGCGUGCCUAAUACAUGCAAGUCGAGCGAACGGACGAGAAGCUUGCUUUUCUGAUGUUAGCGGUGGACGGGUGAGUAACACGUGGAUAACCUACCUAUAAGACUGGGAUAACUUCGGGAAACCGGAGCUAAUACCGGAUAAUAUUUUGAACCGCAUGGUUCAUAAGUGAAAGACGGUCUUGCUGUCACUUAUAGAUGGAUCCGCGCUGCAUUAGCUAGUUGGUAAGGUAACGGCUUACCAAGGCAACGAUGCAUAGCCGACCUGAGAGGGUGAUCGGCCACACUGGAACUGAGACACGGUCCAGACUCCUACGGGAGGCAGCAGUAGGGAAUCUUCCGCAAUGGGCGAAAGCCUGACGGAGCAACGCCGCGUGAGUGAUGAAGGUCUUCGGAUCGUAAAACUCUGUUAUUAGGGAAGAACAUAUGUGUAAGUAACUGUGCACAUCUUGACGGUACCUAAUCAGAAAGCCACGGCUAACUACGUG
rnacentral:rRNA from 1 species